GGGCAUUAUAAUGCCUAAAUUCAUAGGGCAGGUCCUGCAGUGGGCCAGUUCCACAACUGAAAAGCUGCGCGUUACUGAUAUGGCCUUCAUCAGCCAGCUUAUAUGUGACCCGAUCAUUGGAGACCAGAAGCUCCUGAAGCCAAUGCUUCAUUUACUUCAACAGCGAGCCAGGGACUCCAAUAACCUGGUUUGGCAGAUGGCAGCCAGAGGACUGAGCAGCAGUGUAUGGUGCCCCUGAGCAGCUGAAAAAACACCAGAACGCCAUCCUGGAGACCUUUUACCAGGCAUUAUUUGUGCCUUCCAGUGCUCAGAUCAUGCAGGAGGGUAUGCACGCACUGGCCAGUGUCCUGGAUCAUCUAGGG